rnacentral:rRNA from 2 species
ACGAACGCUGGCGGCGUGCUUAACACAUGCAAGUCGAACGAUGAAGCCCUUCGGGGUGGAUUAGUGGCGAACGGGUGAGUAACACGUGGGCAAUCUGCCCUUCACUCUGGGACAAGCCCUGGAAACGGGGUCUAAUACCGGAUAACACUCCUCCCUGCAUGGGGAGGGGUUGAAAGCUCCGGCGGUGAAGGAUGAGCCCGCGGCCUAUCAGCUUGUUGGUGGGGUGAUGGCCUACCAAGGCGACGACGGGUAGCCG